UGAGGAAUAUUGGUCAAUGGGCGGGAGCCUGAACCAGCCAAGCCGCGUGAGGGAGGAAGGCCCUAUGGGUCGUAAACCUCUUUUGUCAGGGAAACAAAAAGGCGAGUAUGUAUACUAGUCUGAGUGUACCUGAAGAAAAACGCAUCGGCUAACUCCGUGCCAGCAGCCGCGGUAAUACGGAGGAUGCGAGCGUUAUCCGGAUUUAUUGGGUUUAAAGGGUGCGUAGGCGGCGGUGCAAGUCAGCGGUAAAAUGCCCGGGGCUCAACCCCGGCGAGCCGUUGAAACUGCAGUGCUAGAGAAGGCGAGAGGUACGCGGAAUGCGCAGUGUAGCGGUGAAAUGCUUAGAUAUUGCGCAGAACUCCGAUUGCGAAGGCAGCGUACUGGCGCCUGACUGACGCUGAGGCACGAAACGCGUGGGGAUCGAACAGGAUUAGAUACC
rnacentral:rRNA from 1 species